rnacentral:misc_RNA from 1 species
AUAGUGACUGCAAAAGAUAUAAUUAUAGCUACUGGUUCUGUUCCUUUUGUCCCCAAGGGUGUUGAAGUUGAUGGGAAGACUGUAAUUACAAGUGACCAUGCACUCAAACUGGAGUUUGUUCCUGAUUGGAUUGUAAUUGUAGGAAGUGGUUAUAUUGGUCUAGAAUUCAGUGAUGUAUAUACUGCACUUGGAAGUGAGGUCACCUUUGUUGAAGCUCUAGAUCAGCUUAUGCCUGGAUUUGAUCCUGAGAUUGGGAAGUUGGCUCAAAGAGUACUCAUAAAUCCAAGGAAAAUUGACUAUCAUACUGGAGUAUUUGCAAGCAAGAUCACUUCAGCAAAGGAAGGGAAACCUGUCACUAUUGAGCUUAUUGAUGC